AUGGACGCAAGUCUGAUGGAGCAACGCCGCGUGAGUGAAGAAGUUUUCGGAUCGUAAAGCUCUGUUGUUGGUGAAGAAGGAUAGAGGUAGUAACUGGCCUUUAUUUGACGGUAAUCAACCAGAAAGUCACGGCUAACUACGUGCCAGCAGCCGCGGUAAUACGUAGGUGGCAAGCGUUGUCCGGAUUUAUUGGGCGUAAAGCGAGCGCAGGCGGAAAAAUAAGUCUAAUGUGAAAGCCCUCGGCUUAACCGAGGAACUGCAUCGGAAACUGUUUUUCUUGAGUGCAGAAGAGGAGAGUGGAACUCCAUGUGUAGCGGUGGAAUGCGUAGAUAUAUGGAAGAACACCAGUGGCGAAGGCAGCUCUCUGGUCUGCAACUGACGCUGAGGCUCGAAAGCAUGGGUAGCGAACAGGAUUAGAUACCCUGGUAGUCCAUGCCGUAAACGAUGAGUGCUAAGUGUUGGGAGGUUUCCGCCCCUCAGUGCUGCAGCUAACGCAUUAAGCACUCCGCCUGGGGAGUACGACCGCAAGGUUGAAACUCAAAGGAAUUGACGGGGGCCCGCACAAGCGGUGGAGCAUGUGGUUUAAUUCGAAGCAACGCGAAGAACCUUACCAGGUCUUGACAUCUAGUGCCUCU
rnacentral:rRNA from 1 species